AACAUUUAAAAAAAAAACCUUUUCAUUCUACAGUUGGCAAGGUUGGUGGCUCAGAUGGGCAAAAUCUCAGGGGUCUGAGGUGGGGUCUUGCAUCGCUCCAAGCACCUGGCCCCGGGCUAUUCUGGUGCUACUGGAGUCGAGGAGCUGCUCCCAGUGGACACGGGUGUCCAGGAGCUGUCUGUGGGUUCUGUGUAUGUGUGGCUGCUGGUGACCAUGGUUCCCAGGACUGGAUAUUGGAUGGACAAGUUCAGCCUUGAAACACUUACUUUCUUUGGCCAUGCUUACUCUCAUUUGUUCACCCAAAUCAGAGAACACACCCCUCCCUCCUCUGAGACCAUCCUUAAAGGUCCCCCCUCCCUUAAAUGCCCAGAGCCCUGGGUGGGGGAUGGGGGACAAAGGGGAAAAGAGUUGAGGAUGAGGGUGGAGGUGUCAGGGAGGAGGGAGAGGGAAGGGGAUGGGUUAAGAAGGCGUGUGUGAUGCCAAGCAAAAAAGACAACAUUAGACACAGAUGCGGGGGAUAGGGAAGAGAGUGCGGUGACCCCAGCCAAGAGCUUCUGGAGGUGGCAGAGAGGAAGUGGGCGGCGGCGCUGGUCAAAGAGGAUGGAAGGAAAUCAGUUAAGAGGGGUUUGAAUGGAGAAACUGGAGGCAUGGCCACUUCACUGCCCGUCCCACCCGCAAACUAUAAUGCGGCAGAGUGGCAGCAGGCAGGGCCAGCCGCGGGGCUUGGACCUUUCCUCUAACGGUUGGAGAGGGAUGUUCAUCUGACUACCUCUUUGCAAGAAAACAAGCCUACCAGAGGUUAGCUUCAGGUCCCAGGAAGAAUUCAGCAGUCAAUUCUCCAAAGACUGCCCCAUCCCAAAGCCAUUCUUUUUGAGCCAGCCUCCAACAGAGGAAGCAGAGGAGAGAUUCAAUUCUCAGCUCCACCAAGGUUCUUCAGAAAGCUCGGAGAACGAACCCAUUUCACAGGAUCUCAAGAACAAAGGCUUUCUCUCCCUCCUCCCGGUCGGAGGACCUGUGCACCCCAGCCAGCUGUCCGAGUUAAUACUGUUCUCUCGAGAUCCUUAACAUUUUGGCGGGGCACACCUUGGGUUUCUCCCAAAUCGAACCGGGAUGUGGACCAUGCCUCCAGGAGUUGAGAUGCCAACACAAAUAAGAGAGAGAGAGAGAGAGAGAGAGAGAGAGAGAGAGAGAAAGAAAGAGAGAGACACUCCCCACGUCGCCUGGCUCAAACCAAGUACAAAAGUGACUAUUUACAAUGAAGGCGUGGGGAGUGGGUGGGGGCAACGGGGAGGACAGUCAGAGUGAGCGCUCCGAUGGGGAGGCCACGCCCCCUAGGCCGGCCUUUGCAAAGCCAAACUGCAAAGGUAUUUCUAGAAGAUCCCUGUGCCCCCAGGGGAGGCGGAUCCUAAGGGGUGAGGGAUAAGGAUUGGGGCAUGGCAUGGGGAGGCAUGGGCGCUGGGAGGAGAUGGAGGGAAGGUAGCAACUGCCCUUAGCAUCCACCCCCCUGGCCUCCCUGCCAGACACACAGGUUUUCCGUGGGAUGAACACAGAAAGGGUUAAUUAAAAGAGUUCGAUGGAGCGAGUCUGACGGUCGAGUGGGGCGGGCUGGAGCAAUGAGGCCGCAGGUUCCCGUGGUGGCCGGUGGUGAUGGAGUCACUUAGAAGAUGAGAGGUUGGUGGUUUUGUGNNNNNNNNNNNNNNNNNNNNNNAAGGGAGGAAGGAGGAGGGUCUCCCUAUAUUAAUUCUAAGGAGACCAGUGUCCUAGACUGUCUGAGAAGGGGUUAAAAACCAGCAGUCUUCACCACCACCACCCUCCAGAGACUUUCCCUCCCUCCUGCCACUAAGCGGGAGGUUGUCUAUGCCUCCGAUGAUAGCCGUGGGGACCCGAUGGAACGGACACACCAGCUGGGGCAUCGAGACCGCUGACUGUGGUGGAGAGAGGGCUCGGACCGCAAGGCUCGGUGUCCACACUCCACAAAGCGUAAACCAGGCUUCUCUGCCCCCCGACCUGGGUAUUGCGAUUCUGUGCUCCCCCAUGGUGACAACCAGUUCAGGUUUUGACGACGCCGGCCUCAAUUCCGGAUGGCGCUUGGGGCUGAUGCCCUGGGCAGAAGGCCUGUCUGGCUGUCCGACAGGUGUACAACCUAGUGGAGCAUCCUGGACGCCUAGAUUGCCACCUUCACCGCUGCUCUGGUGAACGCUUUUGCAAAUUAACCUGUUAGGCUCGAAACAGCAAGAGUCCAUGCAAGGGAGAACCUCCUCUCCUUUUUCAAAUAGCUGGAGACCAGCUAGCCAUAAAGUAAUAAGGAUGGUGUUGGCCACAGGGGCGGGCUGAAGAAACAGAACUGAGGUGGGAACGGAGGUCCGAUAUUCCAAGGGAUUUGGUUGGUCAAGAGUGGAGAGAGAAAAAAAAAAAAAUACCGUGGGAAAACAAGUGGUACCGUAAUAUUCCGAGUAUAGGUCCCCAACCAUUUUAAAGACUCUUGCCACGCUCCCUUAAUUCCCACCUCCAAGUCCAGUACAGACAGAGACUGCAAAAUCCCUGCCUUCC
ensembl:lincRNA Gm26821 predicted gene, 26821